rnacentral:rRNA from 1 species
AUUGAACGCUGGCGGCAUGCUUUACACAUGCAAGUCGAACGGUAACAGGCCGCAAGGUGCUGACGAGUGGCGAACGGGUGAGUAAUGCAUCGGAGCGUGCCCAGUCGUGGGGGAUAACUACUCGAAAGAGUAGCUAAUACCGCAUACGAUCUAUGGAUGAAAGCGGGGGACCGUAAGGCCUCGCGCGAUUGGAGCGGCCGAUGUCAGAUUAGGUAGUUGGUGGGGUAAAGGCUCACCAAGCCAACGAUCUGUAGCUGGUCUGAGAGGACGACCAGCCACACUGGGACUGAGACACGGCCCAGACGCCGACGGGAGGCAGCAGUGGGGAAUUUUGGACAAUGGGCGCAAGCCUGAUCCAGCAAUGCCGCGUGCAGGAAGAAGGCCUUCGGGUUGUAAACUGCUUUUGUACGGAACGAAACGGCUCUGGUUAAUACCCGGGGCUAAUGACGGUACCGUAAGAAUAAGCACCGGCUAACUACGUG